CACGUAGGGCGCAAGCGUUGUCCGGAAUUAUUGGGCGUAAAGAGCUCGUAGGCGGUCUGCUACGUCCGCUGUGAAAACCUAGGGCUUAACCCUGGGCUUGCAGUAGAUACGGGCAGACUAGAGGUAGGUAGGGGAGAAUGGAAUUCCCGGUGUAGCGGUGAAAUGCGCAGAUAUCGGGAGGAACACCGGUGGCGAAGGCGGUUCUCUGGGCCUUACCUGACGCUGAGGAGCGAAAGCGUGGGGAGCGAACAGG
rnacentral:rRNA from 1 species